UACGGAGGGUGCAAGCGUUAUCCGGAUUUACUGGGCGUAAAGGGCGCGUAGGCGGCCAUCUAAGUCAGACGUGAAAUCCCCCGGCUUAACCUGGGAACUGCGUCUGAUACUGGACGGCUUGAGUUUGGGAGAGGGAUGCAGAAUUCCAGGUGUAGCGGUGAAAUGCGUAGAUAUCUGGAGGAAUACCGGUGGCGAAGGCGGCAUCCUGGACCAACACUGACGCUGAUGCGCGAAAGCUAGGGGAGCAAACGGG
rnacentral:rRNA from 1 species